rnacentral:rRNA from 1 species
UACGUAGGGAGCAAGCGUUAUCCGGAUUUAUUGGGUGUAAAGGGUGCGUAGACGGAGAAGCAAGUUAGUUGUGAAAUCCCUCGGCUUAACUGAGGAACUGCAACUAAAACUACUUCCCUUGAGUACUGGAGAGGAAAGUGGAAUUCCUAGUGUAGCGGUGAAAUGCGUAGAUAUUAGGAGGAACACCAGUGGCGAAGGCGACUUUCUGGACAGUAACUGACGUUGAGGCACGAAAGCGUGGGGAGCAAACAGG